AGAACGAACGCUGGCGGCAGGCCUAACACAUGCAAGUCGAACGCCCCGCAAGGGGAGUGGCAGACGGGUGAGUAACGCGUGGGAACCUUCCCUAUGGUUCGGAAUAGCUCAGGGAAACCUGGGGUAAUACCGGAUAAGCCCUUCGGGGGAAAGAUUUAUCGCCAUUGGAUGGGCCCGCGUAGGAUUAGCUAGUUGGUGAGGUAACGGCUCACCAAGGCGACGAUCCUUAGCUGGUCUGAGAGGAUGGAUCAGCCACACUGGGACUGAGACACGGCCCAGACUCCUACGGGAGGCAGCAGUGGGGAAUAUGGACAAUGGGCGAAAGCCUGAUCCAGCCAUGCCGCGUGAGUGACGAAGGCCUUAGGGUUGUAAAGCUCUUUUGGCGGGAAGAUAAUGACGGUACCGCAGAAUAAGCUCCGGCUAACUCGCGCCAGCAGCCGC
rnacentral:rRNA from 1 species